GUAAUGUAUUGAAUCAAUAUUUGAGGAACACUUCAACUGGUACGACAGAAAGAGUUUUAUACAAUCGGCUCCAGGUCUUCAGUUUGUUUACCGCGCCACUUUUGACGCGUGCGCAGACAAGAUUCCUACCUUUUUUAUCUCAACAAGAAAAAAAAUUCGUCCUACCCCUAGCCCCCCCUGGUCAUUUCCCUCAAACAAUGUUGCCGUGACGUCACAUGAAACACUCUUUCAGCCUGCACUUUGACCUUCAAUUUUUAAUUUUGGCGCUUUUUCACACGGGAGGACUGGGACUCACGCGCUUUGGGGGCUGGGCGGAAAAUGGCCGAAAGCAUGUGACCUCAUACUUGCCAAAUGCUCGCCCAAAAUUGACCAAAACCGGUCGAGUAAAGGGCCUACCUAGGUCUGGGAUGUCAUAUAUAUUAUUAUGCACAUCAAUAUUUCAGUCACGUUUCAAAUUAUCAGUUAAUUUAAAAUUAAGUUCUUUGUAUGUUUGCAUGGCGAUAAAAUAUAAUUCGGCGCCAAUUCAAUGCCAUUUAUUAUCCCAUAAUAACAAUUUUAAAUUAUAAUAGUUUUGUUUGUGGAAACACCACGUAAAUUUAUUACUGAUCGAAAGUAUUACUGAGCUUACGGAUCGAAAGCUUUGCAGUAAUAAAUUUACGUGGUGUUUCCACAAACAAAACUAUUAUAAUUUAAAAUUGUUAUUAUGGGAUAAUAAAUGGCAUUGAAUUGGCGCCGAAGCAUAAAAUAUCGACGGCAAUUUUUUGUCUGCAAUAAUUUGGUAAACCGCUGUUUAUGAGGACUGAAUAUCUGCUAACAAAUCCUGGCAAUUUACAUAACUCAAGCCCUUAACAUGAUUUCCUGGACUCAUGGAUACUUUUUUAAAUUCUAAAGGUGAUGUGAUGAAAUGUUGAUGUAAUGAAAAGAGAUGAUGAAAAGACCAAAAAGAACCACUCACGAAUAGCAUGGAGCCAAGAAAAGAAUGACGAUUCGCAACAAUCCGAAACCACAACAUUGCUAAUAUGAGAGUAGCAAAAAAUUAUACCAAUGUAAGUUAGUUAAAGACAAAAUACUUAUUUAAAGAUCAAAGGGGAUUCAAGUGAAUACAAUGAAUUUCUCAUUGAAAAUAAGCAUGCUACGAGUUUACCAAAUCUUUCGACUUUGUUUUCCAAGAAAUAAUAGAAAUAAUUGCCCUAAAAAUCAGGUAAUUCGUUUGGCCAAGCACGAAAUCUUCCCUGGAAUAUUUUCGAUUGUAAUCUUUUCUGAAAACAAAAUAUUAAUCCGCGUCACCAAGAGUUAAUGUAAAAUAAACAUGGCGUGGAGUCUAGCACCAAGCAUUUCCUCUUUUUUAUUGCCAGUUGGUGUUGAUAAUAAAAUUACUGUCAGAUGCGGUUGACAUUCUGUCAACUAUGGGAUAAGUCUUGUAUUCACAAUGAAAUCAACAUACGAUGAAAACAAACAAUCCUAUUUCAAGCGUUAAAAAGUUAUUAAAAAUUGGUGGAUUUAUUUUUCUUUGUUUAAUUCCCAUAGGAAUAUCAGUACUUUGGUUCUUAUGUUAAUUUUUUUUAUUUUGCGCAAGCGUGAAGUA
rnacentral:lncRNA from 1 species